AAGCUUUUUGUGACGGUACCUGGAGAAGAAGCACCGGCUAACUACGUGCCAGCAGCCGCGGUAAUACGUAGGGUGCGAGCGUUGUCCGGAAUUACUGGGCGUAAAGGGCUCGUAGGUGGUUUGUCGCGUCGUCUGUGAAAUUCCGGGGCUUAACUCCGGGCGUGCAGGCGAUACGGGCAUAACUUGAGUACUGUAGGGGUAACUGGAAUUCCUGGUGUAGCGGUGGAAUGCGCAGAUAUCAGGAGGAACACCGAUGGCGAAGGCAGGUCUCUGGGCAGUAACUGACGCUGAGGAGCGAAAGCAUGGGGAGCGAACAGGAUUAGAUACCCUGGUAGUCCACGCCGUA
rnacentral:rRNA from 1 species